UGAGUUGUGGAUGAGAGACGUCAGAUUAAAGAAGAGUGAGAGGAGCAGGACAGAAAACACACUCACUGAGCUGCUGGGAGUUUCAGCGCUGCAUGCAAGAACGUAGAAUUGGAGUGCCGGGACUGGGGGCUGCGCUGCUCCAUUGCACUCUCUCUCUUUCUUUCUCUCUCUCUCUCUGUCUCUCUGUCCUCUGGGUCUAAACGUGCAGCAGAGGAAUUGCAGCGGCAGAUAUGAACCUCUCACUUCCCCAGACUUCACAAGCAUGUAGGUAAGAGCCAAUGCUGUCAUUGCAAUGCCAAUGUUAAUGUUAUUAUUGAAAGUAGGCAUCUGUCUGUCUGUCUGUCAGCAUGGGGGGUCUGUGUCCUCACAUAC
ensembl:lncRNA